rnacentral:rRNA from 1 species
GAUGAACGCUGGCGGCGUGCCUAAUACAUGCAAGUCGAGCGAACGGACGAGAAGCUUGCUUUUCUGAUGUUAGCGGCGGACGGGUGAGUAACACGUGGAUAACCUACCUAUAAGACUGGGAUAACUUCGGGAAACCGGAGCUAAUACCGGAUAAUAUUUUGAACCGCAUGGUUCAAAAGUGAAAGACGGUCUUGCUGUCACUUAUAGAUGGAUCCGCGCUGCAUUAGCUAGUUGGUAAGGUAACGGCUUACCAAGGCAACGAUGCAUAGCCGACCUGAGAGGGUGAUCGGCCACACUGGAACUGAGACGCGGUCCAGACUCCUACGGGAGGCAGCAGUAGGGAAUCUUCCGCAAUGGGCGAAAGCCUGACGGAGCAACGCCGCGUGAGUGAUGAAGGUCUUCGGAUCGUAAAACUCUGUUAUUAGGGAAGAACAUAUGUGUAAGUAACUGUGCACAUCUUGACGGUACCUAAUCAGAAAGCCACGGCUAACUACGUG